rnacentral:rRNA from 1 species
UACGGGGGGGGCGAGCGUUGUUCGGAAUUACUGGGCGUAAAGGGCGCGUAGGCGGUUCGCUAAGUUGGAUGUGAAAACUCUGGGCUCAACCCAGAGCCUGCAUCCAAAACUGGCGGGCUAGAGUUCUGGAGGGGGUAGCGGAAUUCCUGGUGUAGCGGUGAAAUGCGUAGAUAUCAGGAGGAACACCGGUGGCGAAGGCGGGUCUCUGGGCCGAUACUGACGCUGAGGAGCGAAAGCGUGGGGAGCGAACAGG